UGCAGAUUCAUCCCUUGUGGAGCUUUUCCCCAUGAGCUGAGAUCUUUGAGACAGUUCUGUCAUCAGUAAUUCCUGAGGAGCCUGCAGAGUUCCCUGUUUGACAAACUGUUCCCAAGUGUAUCUGGUUUGUCCCUGAGGGAGGCUGCAGAUGUUGAAGUGGUGUUCGAUUCCUCAGCAGCCAGCAGGAACUUUGCUCCAGUAAAAACAAAGUCUGGGACACUGGAUUAUUUCAGCUGCUUAUCCCAUAUCCCACUGUGACCAAAGGCCAGCAGAGGGUAUCGCCAGCUGAGAGUAGAGGCUGGAUGUAAAGCAGACAUCUAUCACAGUGGCACUAGAAGCCUGGGGCUGUGCAGGAAGAAGUCAGGGUACAGGAAUCAACAGCAGGAUUCACUGGGAAGGGCCUCUCAUCUCUACAGAAGCCCUUCUGCAAUGCUGCACUGCGUCCAGCCAGGCGCCGCUUCUGUGCUCCAGAAGGAAGAAGGAUGGGCGAGCAUCGAUCUGAGCUGCUGCUGGGCCUUGUCCUGCUGCUGGCAGUGCUGCACGAAGCCGUCUCCUCCAGGGCUGCUCUGAGCAAUGAUCAAACAUAGGCGUUUCAUGGAGCAAACCCUGCAGCAGACAGCUGGAGCUUGACCUUCCUUUCAUGUCAAUAGGAAAACUCUCAGAACUGAGCAUAAGCCAGUCUGUAUGUAAACUCCUUCAUUAGUCUUCAACAAUUAGAGGCUGAUAGAUGGCCUGAAGGGUGAGAUACCCCACCUAUUAGUGGGGCUGCUCUGAACACAAUCCUCCUUAGCCCUGAGUGCCUGGUGGAAAUACAACAGGUGAUCCUGCAAGAAAAGUCAGUGCUGUUACAAUUCAGUUGUUUUCCUUUAGAGUUAUUAUGUAUCUUCUUCUACACUUCACAAAUAUUUGGAAAACAAGAACACUUAGCUUUUAACUAAAUUGCACCAGAACAAAUAUUUUUAUUGCUGCACUGAAAGCUGCGGGUCUGCCCAAGCCAAAUUCCAUUUAAUGUUUCUUUAACGACCUCUGAGACAGUUUAGCCACGUUCUGAUGAGUGUUCAAGUGAGAUGGCAUUUGUUAGGUUGCAGCUGUUUAAGUCCAGCAUGACUUUGCUACUCCAACCACAAGUGUUAACACCGCCCCGGGUACCGAGGCAGCUGAUCCUGGUUUCUCUGCUUACAACAAAAAGUAAUGGCACUGGAGAAUGAGGUGGCAGGGAAGUUCAAGCAGUUGUGCCAGCACUGCUCAGGCUGCCUGCAGAUCUUCGUGCUGCAGUAUUGCCUCUGUGGGCAGCUCCGAGAUGGGUACGUGAGAGUGGCUCCCGCUGAACCACUUGAAUAUAGAUGCAGCUGGGUUUCUGAAUUCACAUUCAAGUCUUCCCCUUCAUUUUGUAUGGCUGAGGAAAUUCUAGAAUGCUCAGAUGCAUUUUCUGAUAAGUCUGAGUUCCACUGAGACAGAAAUCGCUCUAACCCACAAAAUCAAGAAGGCGUUUCAGUUUAAUGUAUGAACUUGGCUUCUCCCUUUCUGUGAGAGGACUUUGCAAGGCUGCGAUCUCCCAGGGCAGCUCUGGGACAACAUCCUCAACACCGGGCUGCUUUCAUUCUCAGAAACCGAGCAGGAUUACAGAAAGGAACACAGUCACUGGGAGAAGUGGCACUACGAACUGACUUUGCUGUAAUUGUGGAGACUCAGUACUGCACAGAAGUGCAUCCCUUUAAUGGAUGACUUUUCAGAGCCAAGAUGAGAAGGACAAUACAGUUGAGUGAGGUGGGAAGGAUGUACGGGCUUUUCCCCUUGAAAGUACAGCUUAGAAAAUGUCAGCAGUGGGCACUGCUGCGUUGUGAAUAGAGAUGUAGUGGAUACCUUCUGUGACUUAUGAGGACAAACGGUGCUGUUGGCUCAUCGUGGUGCAAUUCUGGAGUUCGGAAGGAAAAACGAAGGAACGUUAACUAGAUUAUUUCUGCUACUAAUUCUGCUAACGAAGGGAGCAGUGGGGGUGCAGCUGUGGGCUGAAGCAGUCGGUGCUGAGGAUGCUCCACGCUCUUUGCCUGCACGCACGGGGCUCUGGGUGCUCUGCAGGCCAGCACAGCAGCAGUUGGAGCACGAGGAUGCUUCUGGUUUAGCUUUGUCUGAAAGUGCCCGACGCUGCCUUUCAACACCGCUCCACAAUGCAAAUGUGAAGGGACAGUGGAAAUGGCACGGAGCCUCACUUCGGGCUGACGGCUCUGUCCCCAGCGCUGCCGACGCCCGGCCGAGGAAGGAGCUCCGCUCCGGGCCCCACCAGGUGGCACUGCGGUAAAGCGCUGCCGCAAGGAAGGCGUGCGGCCAUCCGCCACGGCCCUGCGCGAGGAAUAAAUGCCGAGCACUCAGGGAUCUGUAGAGCUGGGAAGGUAGGUGGCAUUUAUGGCAAGAGUAUUGAUCUCCAAUGGAACGAGUCUAUAAUGAAUGGCAUUUCAGAGGAUCUGGCUGUUACUACGGCUGUGAAAAGUUCAUUUAGAGCUAACAGAUAUGGCUGUAACGAUACAUCUGAAGAGCUAGAACUAAUGAAGAAGCCUCCAGUGCUACUGAAGUACUUAGGAAUAAAGCCUUAUUACUCGACAAAAAGCUGUGACACCACGGUUAGAAACUCACAGCAUCACAAGCGAUUCUCUGCAGGUGGAGCCUUCACGGUCCUCAGGGAAGGGCCAAUGUGUGAGGCUCAGCUCAGCCAAGCUGCUUUGUUUCCUCGGACCAACGCUUCGUUCCCAGUCAGGCAAGUUCCCUUUGUGGUAGGCUGUUCUGUUUUUCUCAGGAAUGAAAGCAAAACCACUUAUUUUUAUUGUAAAUCAUAUUUAAAAAGCCAUAAUACUAACGUGAGCCAUCUGAAAUUGACACCGAUUUGCCUUCACAAUAGCAGGAUAAUUAAUAUCAGUGUUUAUGUAGUAUCUCUCCUUGCACAAGAUCCCCCAGGAGUUUGCAGAUAACAGCCUGCAGAAGCUAUUGUAGCCAUCAUACAAAACAUCUGGUCCACGCCUGUUUAAAAAUCCCAUUUUAAUUUCAACUCUGCUUCCCCCUAAAGUCAAUGGACUGCUUUGCCUUCCAGAGUUGAGUUAAGCCCUUUGUUUCCAUUUGGUCCCUGAAAAGAAAGGAAAUGAAUUACAAUAGUUUUGUACAGCACCUCCCAGAGACCAUGUGUUAAUUGCACAUGCCCUGCACAGGCAGCUGAUGGGCACACGCAGUGAACGUGGCAGGGAUUUUGAGGUGACGUGUGACCUGCUUGGAGGUGCCAAUUUCCAGAUGCCCCCAGUGUCUCAGGGCACUGGGAGCAUCUGGAGAUUCCAGAUAACUCCAACAAAGGCCUGAGCAACAAAACCCUGAGUGUAUGUGGUGACCUUCGGAGUGGCUACAGCUCUCUGACUGUGACAAGAGGAAACAGCCCCCCCAGAACUGUCUGUUCACUGCAUAAGCAUGAAAUGAUUUGAGGCACUGCAACCUAUUAUUAGGUUAAUGAACUCAAACCCCAGAAUUCUUCAGUCCCGAAGCAACCAGAGGCUACCAGUAAAGACCAAUCUGUGGGAGUUAAUGUGUGCACAAAAGGACGUUUUACGCUGCCUGGACUCCUGCUGAUGUUCCUCAUGUCUGUGCCAUCUCCUGAGACACAAGGCAUUUGUCAGCAGGAAGGUGGGUGGGUGGAGGUCCUGAUGCUGCUCCUGCCGUGGCUGAGCCGUGCAGUGCAGUGGUGUGAGGCUGGCAGCGAUGGCUCUGCUUCCAGCACUUCCUCCUCUGGCACAUGAGUGUGGAUUUGCACCCUUGGCACUCGCACUGAACUCAGGCAGGCACAGCAAUACCACCUCUCUCCUCGUCACUACCAGGCGUUCAAAGCUCAUUUGCUUUAUUUAACACACAUAGGAAAGUUCUCAGCAGCUGCCAGGUAAGCCUUCCUACUUGCCUUAGAAUCAAAAGGUGCCGCCGAUUUUUCGGAUGCUGCAAAGGCAGAAGCAGACAGUUGUGUCAGAGACAGAGAUCUGAAGCCUUGGAGGAAAAUUUCCCUAUUUGUGCUGUCACUGUGUACAGGGGAGGAUGGAGAGCAAGGGAAAGAGUCGCCUAGGAAGAAAUGGGAAGAAAGGAAACUUGAUUGUGAAGAGCAGGAUAGGAAAUGAACUCUGCAUUCAGAAAUGGCAGAAGAUGAAGAUAACAAACAGAAGAAUAAGCUGGCAAGCUUUGUUAGAGUUGUAAAGUGCUCGUUUAAAUCUACUUUUGUUCCUUGUGAUUCACAGAAGUGAAAGUGCGCCCCAGAUCCCUCAGUGCCUUCUGCACAGCCCACUGCUGUGAGCUGCAGUGUUUGAGCCCCGUGAACUGCACUGCUUUAACUGGAAACAGGCCCAGAGGAAUGAGUGGGGCUGCUUCUGCCUUCCCAAGCUGCCUGCAGUCAUGCACAUGGACAAGGCAAUCACUGGGGUAGACAGUGAAUGACUGUCAGUGGAACCAUCUGUAUCCUACCCUAGAAUAUUUGAGAUUGCUGUUAGCAUCCGGCGGGGAUGCUAUAUCCCUACAGACAGUGAACUGAAUGAAUUUUGCUUUUCUGGACAAUUUCCUUUGCUGCCCUCUUCUUAAAAUGCUAAGAGCCAUUUACAGAAUUUGCUGAGGGCAAGCGCUGAUUCAAUUGCAUAUCAAAGACCUUAUGGCAGUAGAGAAGUCAUCUUCCUCGUGUCCUUUUACAUCUUGCAGAUCGUGAAUCUCCGCACAGCACUGAUUUGGAGAGCAGCAUAUUCUUUGCCUUGUGCUGUCAGUGAUGAGAUGCCUCAUUCUGCUUCAGGGGGUUCUGCCAGGUGACUCUCGAGGGAGAUAUUUCUGCUUUUGUUUCACAACCCCUCUGGCACCAGGCACGCAGGUUAAGACAGAGGGAGGAGCACUGCAAAAUAACAACUCCUUCCAGUUCCUGGGAUGUGUUGUAUUCCCAGCACACAAACGAUCAAACUCCCUUCGUUAUGCUGCAAACUUUAGCUAAUAAUGACUAUCAAGAAAUUAUACUUCCAUUUCUUCUAAUUCUAUAUGAAGCUCAUACAACACUUUCUUCCAAAAAACAAUGCCUUGUAUCAGAUGCUGACUUUAAUUCCAUGUGAAUUUCUGUGGUGCUCACGGGUGGAGAAAAUCUCAGUGUGAUAUUUGUGGGAAGAAAUGAAUGAGCCCCAGUAUCUUCAAAUGGCUUAAAAUGUCCUCCUGAGGAUUUCUGUCAAACACAUUUCCAGGUUUAGGUGAAAAGCGUAUUGAAGGAAAACCAACCAGAAAGCUUUCACAUCAAGAUCAGGGGUCACUAGAGAAAAUUUUGUCAGCAAUAAUAUACAGAAACAUACCUAGAGAUGCUGACAGCAUGGAAGAAACCCUGGUGUCGCUGCAGUGAAUGACAGAACUCAAUUCUCUGAUGAUUUCAUUGGGAGCCACAUUUCUCCUUGAAGCUGUCAUUUAUGCAUUAGAAAACAUUUGUGUAUCCUUCACCACAAUGAGUGCUGGAAAUCUUUGCUGCUGGAAGGAGCCUGCAGAGGUGGGACGGGCUCCAGUGCUUUCCUUGUAGAGCUGACAGUGCAGGACUAGAGAACUGCUUCCUAUGGGUCCUGUUAGAUGAAAACCAUUAGCUGUGGUCGUUUCCAACCUUGUGAUUCUCUCAUUCUAUGGUUCUAUGUGCUUUCAGAUGCAAAGGACAGAGAGGCAUGAAACGUGAUUGGUUUUGCCAUUUAUUUAAUCUUACACUUGUCACAUCCCUAUCAGCCCUAUAUGAACAACACCUUAAAAUAAGCACGCCAUGCCCUGUGCUGGUCUACCCAUGGGGAAUAGCAUAGAAACACUUGGAAAUAUUUGAAGAAAACAUCCAUGUGAGAGCAUUAUAUUGCUUCAGAUAAGACAUCUCUGAAGUUGCAUACUUGUGUUCUGAACUUUUUUGCCUGUGGACACGUGGCCACAGACAGCUGCACAGAGCUGAACGGAUCCCAUUUAAAGACACCCUGGUAAGCAAGGUGCUCGUAUCUGGGCACAUCUGUGGGGGACAGUUACUGACAGGGAUUUCAAAGGAGUCUGAAGG